rfam:Streptomyces sp. MTSC 93 58, whole genome shotgun sequence.
CUUCACCGACCCCAGCAGGAGCGGCCUGCCAUCGGGCCGCUCCUGCCCGUAGGUCGCCAGCAGCGCCUGCGCCUC